rnacentral:rRNA from 1 species
GAUGAACGCCGGCGGCGUGCCUAAUACAUGCAAGUCGAGCGAACGGAUGAGAAGCUUGCUUCUUUGACGUUAGCGGCGGACGGGUGAGUAACACGUGGGUAACCUACCUAUAAGACUGGGAUAACUUCGGGAAACCGGAGCUAAUACCGGAUAACAUUUUGAACCGCAUGGUUCUAAAGUGAAAGAUGGUCUUGCUAUCACUUAUAGAUGGACCCGCGCUGCAUUAGCUAGUUGGUAAGGUAACGGCUUACCAAGGCAACGAUGCGUAGCCGACCUGAGAGGGUGAUCGGCCACACUGGAACUGAGACACGGUCCAGACUCCUACGGGAGGCAGCAGUAGGGAAUCUUCCGCAAUGGGCGAAAGCCUGACGGAGCAACGCCGCGUGAGUGAUGAAGGGCUUCGGAUCGUAAAACUCUGUUAUUAGGGAAGAACAUAUGUGUAAGUAACUGUGCACGUCUUGACGGUACCUAAUCAGAAAGCCACGGCUAACUACGUG